CACGUAGGGGGCAAGCGUUGUUCGGAAUUACUGGGCGUAAAGCGCACGUAGGCGGCUUUGUAAGUUAGAGGUGAAAGCCCGGGGCUCAACUCCGGAAUUGCCUUUAAGACUGCAUCGCUAGAAUUGUGGAGAGGUGAGUGGAAUUCCGAGUGUAGAGGUGAAAUUCGUAGAUAUUCGGAAGAACACCAGUGGCGAAGGCGACUCACUGGACACAUAUUGACGCUGAGGUGCGAAAGCGUGGGGAGCAAACAGG
rnacentral:rRNA from 1 species